GGCGCCGCUGCCACCGCCGCCCGCCGGGCUCUUGGCGCUGCCGUUGGCCGAUCGGUUCUUCCCCAGUAACUCGGGCCCUUUCUCCAUCAUGCCGGGCAUGGUAGAAGAGGGGAGGGGGAAAGAACUGGGGCCUGAUUCCCUGGAGAGACUGAGGCUUCCGAGAUGAGUUCCCAGUGCCGAGCAAUACAGCUGUAUAUUGCUAAAAGUUGGACUCUUUUGCCAUGUGUAUGUAUUACUGUUUCGAGGAAAUAAAUGUUUAAAGAAUCAACAGACAAAACACAGGGGAAGAAACCAGUAAUGAGAAAGGAGCUGAAGAAACAAGAGCAGAGAGAGAUUAACUGAUGGAGCAAGACUUUGAAGAAUGAAGGAGCGACAAGGACAAGGUGGCUGGAUUGGUCUUGACCAAGAGGCAGUACACUUCAUCCUCUGAGACUAGAGAAAGCUAAAAAGGAGAUACUUGGAGGCAUGCUCCUUGAAAGAAUAUAGAACCUACCUCAAGUCCCUUACCUCCCAGUCCAUCUUUAACCUGAGGACACAGGAGACCUUCAUGGGAAAGAGGGGAGGAUUACAAGGAAAAGAACAAAUGGUAAUUCUGGAAGGUGAAGGAUAAUGGGAAGACAAGAAUUCACCCUGUAUGUGUUCAAAUGAAAGUUCUGAGAACUUUGGUAAUGAACAAAGAAGAAAGACUUUUGAAUAACUUUCCAGAUGUGUUCCAGGCAAUUGUGAUAAAGAAAGGGGAUUUUGCUGAAGUUUUAAGAACUUCUGAACAAAUAGAAUAUGAAAAUGCCAGUAUUGAAAUUAAUGCAAGAAACUCUCUGCAUGGAAUCCCACUAUGAAACUAAAGAAGCCAAAAGGGAACUGUAAUAUCUCUUUUGAAAGAAUUAGAGAAACAGCUUGCUGUCAACAAAAAGAUCACAACCCAUGGAAAAGAUAGCUAUUAAAAAUAUGUCAUUAAAGUCAACAAGAGAGAGACAGAGAGAGACAGAGACAAAGAUCAUUUGGAGAUGGAGUAAAAAGAAAAUAUCUGGAGUUAGGUAAUAACCAAUAUGUCCUCUUCCAACUAGUGUAGAAUUAGAAAGAGCUUUCUCAGCAACUGGAAAAAUGUGCACAAAAAUAAGUUCACUAUCUAAUAAAAACCAAUUGGCACUUAAAGAAACAUCUUUCUUAAAAAAAAAAAAGAUAUCAUAUUUCAUCUUCUAUUUUUCAUGAUUAAUUACAUUUUCUUUAUUUCAUGUAGUGUGUAUAUUAGUUUGUAACACUUCAUUUGUUUUACCUGCCAACCACUGAUAUUGGUAAUGAUUUAUAUUUAAUGUUUAAAUUUUUGUAAUUUUUCAUUUUACUUAAUGUAUGAUUUUAAAAUUUAAACUGCA